UACGUAGGGCGCAAGCGUUAUCCGGAAUUAUUGGGCGUAAAGAGCUCGUAGGCGGUUUGUUGCGUCGGCUGUGAAAUCCCGAGGCUCAACCUCGGGUCUGCAGUCGAUACGAGCAAACUAGAGUGUUGCAGGGGAGACUGGAAUUCCUGGUGUAGCGGUGAAAUGCGCAGAUAUCAGGAGGAACACCGGUGGCGAAGGCGGGUCUCUGGGCCGAUACUGACGCUGGAGGAGCGAAAGCCGUGGGGAGCGAACAGG
rnacentral:rRNA from 1 species